CGAAGUGCGUGUGUUUGUUAACAUGGAAACAUACCCAAAAAUAUCAGAGUAGCAAGACAGAGCUCAGUACAAAGCAAGACCAAGAUGGCAAAAUUACGGUAAGCAGUUGAAGAGGCACUGGAAUCAUUGUUUCGAAUGAGCUGCAUCGAGACGCUGCAGCUGAUCCUCAUCACAAACAACUGAUGCAGCAGGAGGGGGACAGGCAGGACAACGACCAGUGAGGAGAUAUUAGAAACUGUGCGACGUCUCCAAAACCGAGUGAAACGAAAGGCGCUAUGAUCCGAUACAAAGAAACUGCGACGUCUCCAAAACCGAGUGAAACGACAGGCGCUAUGACCCGAUACAAAGUUGCUGGAAGCGAGGAGAGCUGUCUUGACCAAAAAGGAAAAUGGAUAUUUGGAGAAGAAUCACAAUAGACAUGAUAUCUGAUGAGGACGACUGCACCGCUGACAGGGAAGCUACGGAUUGUGUGGCCACCAUCCUUUAGAAGCCAGGAGCUCUCUGAACUAUAUGCUCUUCUUGAGGAGAGACUGAAGGGAACCUAAAAUAUGUAGCAACACACCACAAAAGGCUGCGUAUCGUGCUGCCUUCAUUCAGACCGGCACCGACA